rnacentral:piRNA from 1 species
UUUUCCAGCAAUUCAACCAUU